rnacentral:rRNA from 1 species
GGUUGCCAUCAUACCAGCACUAAUGCACCGGAUCCCAUCAGAACUCCGCAGUUAAGCGUGCUUGGGCGAGAGUAGUACUAGGAUGGGUGACCCCCUGGGAAGUCCUCGUGUUGCAACCC